UUCAUGAGUUUGUUGUUUGUUGCAUGGUUGUGUCUAGAAAGGUGCCUGUGUGCAGAAAGGCGUGUAGUGGAGAGGUUCCAAAAGUGUUGAUUGAUCGUUGAAGGAAGAAAAGCAGCAGCGAAUGUUCUCCGAGUACUCAGGGAACCUGGCGGGGACACAGGGGAUUACCACUCCCACGUGGGACAGGCAGAUUAAAUGAGGAAGGUUGGAACUACUGGGAACAGGGCUGCCGAAGUGUAGACUCAGCCUCCUCAGAGGAAAACACUGCUUGAUCCACUCUCUGAGGACCCCUCCCAGACCUUGGACCAGUCCCCGUCCAGGGCUCACCUGGGCUCAGAUGUCCCCAUCACUCCCCUAAUGAUUAUGCUGGUAACAAAUGAUUACACCACCUGGUGUGCGUACAGUCACCAGUGACUUCAAAGCCCUCCUCAGAUUAGAACAAAACACCUGCCAGUCCUCAGGCUGACUCAAAGUGGGAGCCAUUUAUUUAUGCGGCCUUAGAGCAGUUAGAACGCCUCCUACUGGUCCCGAUUCCAUCCAGCAUACCCUAAAGGGGGAGAAAGGCCCGUGUAACCCUUGCAAGCCCAGGUGUCACCUCCUGGAAGGGGCACAGAUCCAGCCACCAGCUGAACCUUCACCUAAGCCUCAGCUACUGCCCUGAAUCUCUCCAAGAUCAUUCAGUAAAAUUACUAUUGCACUUAGCACCAGAUGAACAAAACAUGGCCCUGGGCCUCUGGGAGCCCCAGCCUAUGGUGGACACAGAGAAGGGCCGCCCUGUAAUACUGUAUAGUAGGCUCUGACACAUGCUGUAGAACAGCCGUGGGCAAACUACGGCCCGCGGGCCGGAUCCGGCCCGUUUGAAAUGAAUAAAACUAAAAAAUAAAAGACCGUACCCUUUUAUGUAAUGAUGUUUACUUUGAAUGUAUAUUAGUUCACACAAACACUCCAUCCAUGCUUUUGUUCCGGCCCUCCGGUCCAGUUUAAGAACCCAUUGUGGCCCUCGAGUCAAAAUGUUUGCCCACCCCUGCUUUAG